rnacentral:rRNA from 1 species
GACGAACGCUGGCGGCGUGCCUAACACAUGCAAGUCGAACGCUGAAGGAGUAGCUUGCUCUUCUGGAUGAGUUGCGAACGGGUGAGUAACGCGUAGGUAACCUGCCUGGUAGCGGGGGAUAACUAUGGGAAUCGAUAGCUAAUACCGCAUAACAGUAGAUGUUGCAUGACAUUUACUUAAAAGGUGCAAUUGCAUCACUACCAGAUGGACCUGCGUUGUAUUGGCUAGUUGGUGGGGUCACGGCGCACCAAGGCGGCGAUACAUAGCCGAACUGAGAGGGUGAUCGGCCACACUGGGACGGAGACACGGCCCAGACUCCUACGGGAGGCAGCAGUAGGGAAUCUUCGGCAAUGGACGGAAGUCUGACCGAGCAACGCCGCGUGAGUGAAGAAGGUUUUCGGAUCGUAAAGCUCUGUUGUAAGAGAAGAACGAGUGUGAGAGUGGAAAGUUCACACUGUCACGGUAUCUUACCAGAAAGGGACGGCUAACUACGUG